GCGGGGCUGCCACAAUCCCCCCUUGCCUCGACGAACUCCGGUCCGUUGCUGCUGCGGCGCCCAGAUCCGCGGCGGACCUCCCCCCGUGCUGUCCUCUAUGGCCAGAUCCGGUCUCCCGAGGGCCUGCUCUGCCAUCAACGGGAGGUCUGCAGCAGUCGCCGCCCUCCACGCCGCCACGGCCGCCGUCCCUCCAUGCCGCCGCGGACUCCGGGAAAUAAGAGAGAAGAUCUUUACCUUGACAUUAGACAAUGCUAGCAACAACACGACUGCAUGUGAGCUAUUAGUAACAGAUUGCAAGUAUGACCUAAUGUUUGGCGGAGAUCAUCUACAUGUUAGAUGUUGUGCCCACAUACUUAACAUCUUGGUUCAAGAUGGGAUGAGGACAAUACAUUCAGCGAUCAAAAUGAUACGUGAGCUAUUAAAGCACAUUGACUCAUCGCCAUCAAGACUCCAAGCAUUCAAUUCAAUUGCAAAUGGAAAGGGUGCAGCCUCAAAAGCUGGUAUCUAUCUUGAUGUUCCAACCAGAUGGAACUCUACCUACAAAAUGAUUAGAGAAGCAUCGGAUUACAAGGCUGUUCUAAAUGCUUAUGCUUCAAAAUAUUUGGAAGUUUGUCCUAGUGAAGAAGAAUGGAUGAAAGAGGAAGCAAUUUGUGAGUUUCUCAAAGAUUUUGAAGAUCUCACUCUUGCUGUUUUAGCCGACAUGAAACCAACGGCACACAUGCAUGUUUCUGCCCUUAGUCAUUUGCAUCCAACAUGCACUAAAGGUAGACCCAGCCUUGCAGUCAACUGACUUGCUGAAGGAGUUGGCAUCAUCCAUGUGUUCUAAAUUUGAGAAGUACUUGGAGCUAGAUGAAGCUAACCCUCGAAGUAAAGAUCACAACCCCCUUAGAAAGAAUAAGGAAAUUGCAUUUAACCUUGCACUAGUCAUUGCCACUUUAUUAGAUCCAAGAAAGAAAAAAAUUCUAUUUGGAUUUCUUUUUCAAGAAGGUGUGCAAAAAUGUAGAUCAGAUUGGUACUCGUGUGGAAUUUGACUUGGUGUGGAUGAGAAAGUAUUUCACAUUGUAUGAGCAAAAGAAUACAAGGACAAGCUGCACAAAUACAAGUACUUCACAUAGUAUGAGCAGUAGCAAUAUCAUGGGCUCACCGGCUCUAGGGAAAAGAAAAAUUGAUGCCGAGUUUGCUCAGUACAAGUUUGAAGUGAUGCUUUCAUAGUCCCAAAAAUCUGAGAUUGAUGUCUACUUGGAAGAAGAGCCUGAAAAUAACAUAGAAGAUUUUGAUGUUCUAUCUUGGUGGAGAAGCAAAGCUGCAAAGUUUCUAGUUCUUUCAGCUAUGGCUCGGGAUUUCCUUGCAAUUCCUCUUAGCACGGUGUCAUCCGAAUCUGCUUUCAGUUUAGGGGGAAGGAUUCUUGGAGAUCAUAGAAGCUCACUAACUCCGGAAAUGCUUGAGGCCCUUGUCUGCGUGAAAGAUUGGCUAUAUAAGACCAAAGAUCCUAAAUUCUGUUUUGAUGGUGAAGGUUUUGAGCAAGAGUAAAAGUAUCACCUCAAUGAAGUCCCUAGUGAAUCUAAGCAUAUCAUAAUUGGGGUCUUCUACUUUGUGGGGUUUGGGCUGUUCUGUUUGGAGCCCUGCUAAGCAUUGCAGUUCUUCAGGUACUUGUUCCACCCAGUACAAGGCACUCAAGUGGUGCUCUCAGUUUAGAAGAUCAUCCUUGUUUCCUCAGUUUUAUUUAUCAAGGAAGCUAACCUCCGGUCCAUCAUCUCAACUUGAAAUAUGUGGCAUUGGUUCUGCAAUUUGCAAUAUGAACUAAGUAUUGUGAUCAGCCUUUGUGCAAUAUGAACUCAAUGUAGAAGUCAUUUUAUAUUCAGAUCUCAAGUUUCAUGUAUUAUCUUUGUUUUUUCUACUUCACUUGAUCCUGAUGGCUCACAUGGUCACAUUGAUCCAAAGCUUAAACACUUAGGUUCCCUGUCCAGUGUUAGUUUUUCAGUGACCCUCAAAGUUAUCUGUUGCGUGCAA